rnacentral:rRNA from 1 species
UAUUGCACAAUGGGGGAAACCCUGAUGCAGCGACGCCGCGUGGAGGAAGAAGGUCUUCGGAUUGUAAACUCCUGUUGUGGAGGAAGACANUGACGGUACUCAACAAGGAAGUGACGGCUGACUACGUGCCAGCAGCCGCGGUAAAACGUAGGUCACAAGCGUUGUCCGGAAUUACUGGGUGUAAAGGGAGCGCAGGCGGGAGAACAAGUUGGAAGUGAAACCCAUGGGCUCAACCCAUGAACUGCUUUCAAAACCGUUUUUCUUGAGUAGUGCAGAGGUAGGCGGAAUUCCCGGUGUAGCGGUGGAAUGCGUAGAUAUCGGGAGGAACACCAGUGGCGAAGGCGGCCUACUGGGCACCAACUGACGCUGAGGCUCGAAAGUGUGGGUAGCAAACAGGA